GGACACGUGGUAUCCUGUCUGAAUAUGGGGGGACCAUCCUCCAAGGCUAAAUACUCCUGACUGACCGAUAGUGAACCAGUACCGUGAGGGAAAGGCGAAAAGAACCCCGGCGAGGGGAGUGAAAAAGAACCUGAAACCGUGUACGUACAAGCAGUGGGAGCACGCUUAGGCGUGUGACUGCGUACCUUUUGUAUAAUGGGUCAGCGACUUAUAUUCUGUAGCAAGGUUAACCGAAUAGGGGAGCCGAAGGGAAACCGAGUCUUAACUGGGCGUUAAGUUGCAGGGUAUAGACCCGAAACCCGGUGAUCUAGCCAUGGGCAGGUUGAAGGUUGGGUAACACUAACUGGAGGACCGAACCGACUAAUGUUGAAAAAUUAGCGGAUGACUUGUGGCUGGGGGUGAAAGGCCAAUCAAACCGGGAGAUAGCUGGUUCUCCCCGAAAGCUAUUUAGGUAGCGCCUCGUGAAUUCAUCUCCGGGGGUAGAGCACUGUUUCGGCAAGGGGGUCAUCCCGACUUACCAACCCGAUGCAAACUGCGAAUACCGGAGAAUGUUAUCACGGGAGACACACGGCGGGUGCUAACGUCCGUCGUGAAGAGGGAAACAACCCAGACCGCCAGCUAAGGUCCCAAAGUCAUGGUUAAGUGGGAAACGAUGUGGGAAGGCCCAGACAGCCAGGAUGUUGGCUUAGAAGCAGCCAUCAUUUAAAGAAAGCGUAAUAGCUCACUGGUCGAGUCGGCCUGCGCGGAAGAUGUAACGGGGCUAAACCAUGCACCGAAGCUGCGGCAGCGACGCUUAUGCGUUGUUGGGUAGGGGAGCGUUCUGUAAGCCUGCGAAGGUGUGCUGUGAGGCAUGCUGGAGGUAUCAGAAGUGCGAAUGCUGACAUAAGUAACGAUAAAGCGGGUGAAAAGCCCGCUCGCCGGAAGACCAAGGGUUCCUGUCCAACGUUAAUCGGGGCAGGGUGAGUCGACCCCUAAGGCGAGGCCGAAAGGCGUAGUCGAUGGGAAACAGGUUAAUAUUCCUGUACUUGGUGUUACUGCGAAGGGGGGACGGAGAAGGCUAUGUUGGCCGGGCGACGGUUGUCCCGGUUUAAGCGUGUAGGCUGGUUUUCCAGGCAAAUCCGGAAAAUCAAGGCUGAGGCGUGAUGACGAGGCACUACGGUGCUGAAGCAACAAAUGCCCUGCUUCCAGGAAAAGCCUCUAAGCAUCAGGUAACAUCAAAUCGUACCCCAAACCGACACAGGUGGUCAGGUAGAGAAUACCAAGGCGCUUGAGAGAACUCGGGUGAAGGAACUAGGCAAAAUGGUGCCGUAACUUCGGGAGAAGGCACGCUGAUAUGUAGGUGAAGUCCCUCGCGGAUGGAGCUGAAAUCAGUCGAAGAUACCAGCUGGCUGCAACUGUUUAUUAAAAACACAGCACUGUGCAAACACGAAAGUGGACGUAUACGGUGUGACGCCUGCCCGGUGCCGGAAGGUUAAUUGAUGGGGUUAGCGGUAACGCGAAGCUCUUGAUCGAAGCCCCGGUAAACGGCGGCCGUAACUAUAACGGUCCUAAGGUAGCGAAAUUCCUUGUCGGGUAAGUUCCGACCUGCACGAAUGGCGUAAUGAUGGCCAGGCUGUCUCCACCCGAGACUCAGUGAAAUUGAACUCGCUGUGAAGAUGCAGUGUACCCGCGGCAAGACGGAAAGACCCCGUGAACCUUUACUAUAGCUUGACACUGAACAUUGAGCCUUGAUGUGUAGGAUAGGUGGGAGGCUUGGAAGUGUGGACGCCAGUCUGCAUGGAGCCGACCUUGAAAUACCACCCUUUAAUGUUUGAUGUUCUAACGUGGACCCGUGAUCCGGGUUGCGGACAGUGUCUGGUGGGUAGUUUGACUGGGGCGGUCUCCUCCUAAAGAGUAACGGAGGAGCACGAAGGUUGGCUAAUCCUGGUCGGACAUCAGGAGGUUAGUGCAAUGGCAUAAGCCAGCUUGACUGCGAGCGUGACGGCGCGAGCAGGUGCGAAAGCAGGUCAUAGUGAUCCGGUGGUUCUGAAUGGAAGGGCCAUCGCUCAACGGAUAAAAGGUACUCCGGGGAUAACAGGCUGAUACCGCCCAAGAGUUCAUAUCGACGGCGGUGUUUGGCACCUCGAUGUCGGCUCAUCACAUCCUGGGGCUGAAGUAGGUCCCAAGGGUAUGGCUGUUCGCCAUUUAAAGUGGUACGCGAGCUGGGUUUAGAACGUCGUGAGACAGUUCGGUCCCUAUCUGCCGUGGGCGCUGGAGAACUGAGGGGGGCUGCUCCUAGUACGAGAGGACCGGAGUGGACGCAUCACUGGUGUUCGGGUUGUCAUGCCAAUGGCACUGCCCGGUAGCUAAAUGCGGAAGAGAUAAGUGCUGAAAGCAUCUAAGCACGAAACUUGCCCCGAGAUGAGUUCUCCCUGACCCUUUAAGGGUCCUGAAGGAACGUUGAAGACGACGACGUUGAUAGGCCGGGUGUGUAAGCGCAGCGAUGCGUUGAGCUAACCGGUACUAAUGAACCGUGAGGCUUAACCUU
rnacentral:rRNA from 1 species